ACUUAAAUAGCUUAUAAAAAAGAGUUUGAUAUUGAAGAUAUUAAGGAAGUUAGAAACUUUUAAGUA
rnacentral:tRNA from 1 species